UGGUGGAGUGAUUUGUCUGGUUAAUUCCGUUAACGAACGAGACCUCGUCCUGCUAAAUAGUCCGCCGUAUGCUCGUCAUACGGUCGGUUUCUUACUUCUUAGAGGGACUAUCGGUGUCAUUUUUAGCCGAUGGAAGUUCGAGGCAAUAACA
rnacentral:rRNA from 1 species